UACGGGGGGAGCAAGCGUUGUUCGGAUUUACUGGGCGUAAAGGGCGCGUAGGCGGCCACCGCAAGUCGACUGUGAAAUCUCCGGGCUUAACCCGGGAAGGUCAGCCGAUACUGCGGGGCUAGAGUGCAGAAGGGGCAACUGGAAUUCUCGGUGUAGCGGUGAAAUGCGUAGAUAUCGAGAGGAACACCUGCGGCGAAGGCGGGUUGCUGGGCUGACACUGACGCUGAUGCGCGAAAGCUAGGGGAGCGAACGGG
rnacentral:rRNA from 1 species